UACGUAGGUGGCAAGCGUUGUCCGGAUUUACUGGGCGUAAAGGAUGCGUAGGCGGACAUUUAAGUCAGAUGUGAAAUACCCGAGCUUAACUUGGGAGCUGCAUUUGAAACUGGGUGUCUAGAGUGCAGGAGAGGUAAGUGGAAUUCCUAGUGUAGCGGUGAAAUGCGUAGAGAUUAGGAAGAACACCAGUGGCGAAGGCGACUUACUGGACUGUAACUGACGCUGAGGCAUGAAAGCGUGGGGAGCAAACAGG
rnacentral:rRNA from 1 species